rnacentral:rRNA from 1 species
AAGUGGAGCAAUUCAUGAGUAAAGUGGCGACCGGGUGAUUAACACGUGAUUACCUACCCUUGAGUGGGGGAUAACCUCGGGAAACCGAGGCUAAUACCGCAUAAUAUCGAGAGAUCAAAGGAGCAUUCCGCUUUUGGAGGGGGUCGCGGCUGAUUAUCUAGUUGGUAGGGUAAUGGCCUAUCAAGGCGAAGAUCGGUAUCCGGCCUGAGAGGGCGCUCGUACACACUGGAACUGAAACACGGUCCAGACUCGUACGGGAGGCAGCAUUGGGGAAUUGUGCGCAAUGGGGGAAACCCUGACGCAGCAACUCCGCGUGGAGGAUGAAGCCCCUUGGG